UGUCUAUUAAUUGUAGACCUGUAUGAAAGGCAAAACGAGGGCCUAUCUGUCUCUUGUAGUAAAUCAAUUAAACUGAUCUCCCAGUCCAAAAGCUGGGAUACCAACAUAAGACCAGAAGACCCUGUGAAGCUUAAACUAAACUAUUAAAUCCUAUAAUAGCUCCUUUCGGUUGGGGCGACCCUGGAAAAAAAAAGAACUUCCAAACAUACUGACUUUAUACUCACCAACCCAGGCCAACAAGCCUAACAACGACCCAGCACAGCUGAUAACUGAACCAAGUUACUCCAGGGAUAACAGCGCUAUCUUCUUCAAGAGCCCAUAUCAAAAAGAAGGUUUACGACCUCGAUGUUGGAUCAGGACAUCCUAAUGGUGCAGCCGCUAUUAAGGGUUCGUUUGNNCAACGAUUAACAGU
rnacentral:rRNA from 1 species